rnacentral:rRNA from 1 species
GCAGUCGAACGGUAACGCAAAGUGCUUGCACUUUGGCGACGAGUGGCGCACGGGUGAGUAAUAUAUAGUUAAUGUACCUUCAAGACCGGGAUAGCCAUUGGAAACGAUGAUUAAUACCGGAUACACCUUCAUACCAUAAGAUAUGAAGGGAAAUGUUUUUUCGCUUGAAGAUCAGACUAUAUCCCAUCAGUUUGUUGGUGAGGUAAGAGCUCACCAAGACUAUGACGGGUAGCGGGUUUGAGAGGAUGAUCCGCCACACUGGUACUGAGACACGGACCAGACUCCUACGGGAGGCAGCAGUGAGGAAUAUUGCACAAUGGAGGAAACUCUGAUGCAGCAACGCCGCGUGGAGGAUGACGCAUUUCGGUGUGUAAACUCCUUUUAUAUGUCAAGAAAAUGACGGUAGCAUAUGAAUAAGCACCGGCUAACUCCGUGCC